AACGAACGCUGGCGGCAUGCCUAACACAUGCAAGUCGGACGAGACCUUCGGGUCUAGUGGCGCACGGGUGCGUGACGCGUGGGAACCUGCCCUUAGGUUCGGAAUAACUCCCCGAAAGGGGUGCUAAUACCGGAUAAUGUCUUCGGACCAAAGAUUUAUCGCCUUUGGAUGGGCCCGCGUUGGAUUAGCUAGUUGGUAGGGUAAAAGCCUACCAAGGCGACGAUCCAUAGCUGGUCUGAGAGGAUGAUCAGCCACACUGGGACUGAGACACGGCCCAGACUCCUACGGGAGGCAGCAGUGGGGAAUAUUGGACAAUGGGCGAAAGCCUGAUCCAGCAAUGCCGCGUGAGUGAUGAAGGCCUUAGGGUUGUAAAGCUCUUUUACCCGGGAUGAUAAUGACAGUACCGGGAGAAUAAGCUCCGGCUAACUCCGUG
rnacentral:rRNA from 1 species